AGAGUUUGAUCCUGGCUCAGAUUGAACGCUGGCGGCAGGCCUAACACAUGCAAGUCGAACGGUAACAUUUCUAGCUUGCUAGAAGAUGACGAGUGGCGGACGGGUGAGUAAUGCUUGGGAACUUGCCUUUGCGAGGGGGAUAACAGUUGGAAACGACUGCUAAUACCGCAUAAUGUCUACGGACCAAACGGGGCUUAGGCUCCGGCGCAAAGAGAGGCCCAAGUGAGAUUAGCUAGUUGGUAAGGUAAUGGCUUACCAAGGCAACGAUCUCUAGCUGUUCUGAGAGGAAGAUCAGCCACACUGGAACUGAGACACGGUCCAGACUCCUACGGGAGGCAGCAGUGGGGAAUAUUGCACAAUGGGGGAAACCCUGAUGCAGCCAUGCCGCGUGUGUGAAGAAGGCCUUCGGGUUGCAAAGCACUUUCAGUUGUGAGGAAAAGUUAGUAGUUAAUACCUGCUAGCCGUGACGUUAACAACAGAAGAAGCACCGGCUAACUCCGUGCCAGCAGCCGCGGUAAUACGGAGGGUGCGAGCGUUAAUCGGAAUUACUGGGCGUAAAGCGCACGCAGGCGGUUUGUUAAGCUAGAUGUGAAAGCCCCGGGCUCAACCUGGGAUAGUCAUUUAGAACUGGCAGACUAGAGUCUUGGAGAGGGGAGUGGAAUUCCAGGUGUAGCGGUGAAAUGCGUAGAUAUCUGGAGGAACAUCAGUGGCGAAGG
rnacentral:rRNA from 1 species